UGCAGAGGGUUAAGUAAACAUUGGAUAUUUGUACAUGGGCAGAAACGUUGUCAGACUCAAUCAGUGGGAUUAUUGGGAUUGCGCCGUAUCAACCAGCUGGUUUUCAAUGAAAACAUUGCAGACAACUGGAAAGUGUUUGAAAAGGAAUGGUGGAUUUACUGCAACGCGGGUCUAUCUGACAAAACAACGAAGGUUCAAGUGUGCACUCUACUAAACCUGGCUGGACCGGACACCGUGGAAAAUCAUUUAUCUUUGCAGAGGAAGAGAAUGAGGUUCUGGAGGUAUUGUUGACACAGUUUGAAUAGAUACUGUAUGUCUCCCAGUGAAAAAUGUAAUAAUGGACAGACACGUUAAAUUCUACAAACCGAAAACCUGAUUAAUCCAUUCAGUCCUAUACAUCUAUGCUGAAAAUACUGGCAAAGAAAUGUGAAUUUGGUCCACUAACUGAUGAACUGGUUAGAGAACAAAGUGACAAGAAACUGCUAUGAAAAGAAAUUCACACUGGAAUCAGCUGUUAAUCUGUGCAUGCUAAAUGAGCAGUCAAAGGAGUAAAAAGUAACUGAGGAGGGAGGCAUUGCCGUUCAAGGUCAAAGCUGUACAAACUGUAAUGGUGCACACCCCCCUGAUAGAAACAUAUGUUUUGCAUUUGACAAACGGUGCAAUAACUCUGGUAGGAUUAAUAUUUUUUCCAAGUGCUGCAGGUCAAGUCAACAACAAGCACAACAGCAACCAUCAGGCAGCUAUGCUAACAGUAACAGAUACCAUACUAAUGCACAUCAGCCUGGCUCAUAGCCUAGAGCACAGAACUUCAGCAGAAUGAAUGAACUGGAAUGUAAACCUGAAUAUGAUGCUGAGGAUACAUUCUACUGUGAAAGUGUUGAUCUGAUUACUAAAAAGGGGGAGAUAUUCACUACUCUAAUAGUAAACUACACUGCAGCCAAGCUCAACGUGAAAAUGGAUACUGGUGCAAAGUGCAAGGUGUUAUCUAAACAAAUGCUGGAGAACAUUGAACCUACUGUGUCUGUUAAUACUGCUGAAAAAGUUAACCUGGCUGCCUAUGGGGCACAGAUGAUCCGUACAGAGGGCACAGCCACCCUUCAUUGCACUCAAGGGAACUUUAACUUUAAUGUAGUUGAACAGGAAGUGAAACCACUACUUGGGUUGCCAGACAGCAUAGCAUUGGGGCUCAUACAACUAGGUCCUGAUGUGCACAUGUUGAAGCAAUAGGCUCCAGGAGUAUAGUGACCUAUUUAACACGGAAGAGAUUGGCAAUCUACCAGUGGUAUAUCACAUGAAACUGAAUGAGUCAGUAAUGCCCAGUCUAUGCACCCAGAAAAGUGCCAGUGGCAAUGAAAGAGAAAGUGAUUAAAGAAUUUGAGAAGAUGUCGGGUUAGGUGUUCUAAUCCCUGAAAAUUAAGCCACAGAGUGGGUUUCUGCCAUGGUAGCUACUGUAAAAAAGAAGAAAAGAUGACUGUCAGGCUAUGCCUGGAAACAGUGCAUUUGAACAGGUUCAGGUGCCUCCGCGUACGUCAUCUCCACUGGAAGUGAGGUCUUCCAGAGGUCAAUGGAGAAGCUUUUUGCUGGGCAGCCAUGUGAGAUAGUGGUGAACGACAUCCUGGUGUAAGAAUGUAAGGAUGCACACUGGAUGAACACAAUGAGCGCCUCAAGGAGGUGCUCAACAGGAUUAGAGCUGUCCAUUUGGGAUUAGAGCGGUCAGCUGAAUCCAGAGAAAUGCUUCAUAAGGUUCCCUACGUCGGCCACCUUCUCAUAGCUGAUGGGGUGGAACCUGACCCAGAAAAGACAGAGGUCGUCAGACAGAUGCCCAAGCCAGGGGAAAAGCACACACUGCAGCAUUUUUUGGGUAUGACUAACUAUCUGUCUAAGUUCUUUUCACAGUGAGGUGACGGGGCCCCUCCACCAGCUCUUCCAUCAGGAGACUGAAUGGUGCUGGCAGGAGCAGCAUGACGCUGCCUUCACCAAAAUCAUAGAGUUGGUAUCUAGCCCACCAGUGCUCCAAGUACUAUGAUUUGGGCAAACCAGUGGUGCUGUCUGCAGAUGCAACCCAACAUGGUCUCGGGGCAGUAUGUUUACAACUAGGUAGGCCAGUGGCCUUUGAAUCUAGAGCACUGACAGAGACAGUGACACAUUACGCUCAGAUCAAGGAGCAGAUGUUGGCUCUUAUUUUUUGCAUGUAAAAAGUUUCAUGAUUUAAUUUACGGACAUGCGGUGCUGGUGGAUAUGGGGUUUACAAAAUAGGGAAGUAGCUGUUUGUAGCUGACCGGAGGACACAGAAGAGUCCUUUGAUGUCAUGACUGUACAGGUUCUGUCCUGUCCUUGCACUGAAGAGUUGAGGGCUGCAGUGGCAACAGACAUCACAUGCCAGCACCUCUGAGAAGUCAUUCUAAAUGGCUGGCUAAAAUCAUCAAAGGAGCUUCCCCAAGACGUUCGCCCCUACUAUGCCAUGAAAGAAGAGUUUACAGUACAGGAUUGGCUCAUACUGGGGGGGUCAAAGGCUGCUUAUCCCAUUGUCUUUACAACAAUUCUAUACAGGCCAACUGCAUCAAGGACACCCAGGGGCUGAGGCAACAAAUCGUAGAGCAAGGGAAAUGUGUGCUGACAUAGAGAGGGAGGUGUUCUGCUGUGCUCCUUUUAAUGCUCUUAACCCCCACCAGGUUAACCUGUUAGGGCUAGGGGGCAGUAUUGACACGGCUGGA